rnacentral:rRNA from 1 species
UGUCAGCCGCCGCGGUAAUACGUAGGGUGCAAGCGUUAAUCGGAAUUACUGGGCGUAAAGCGUGCGCAGGCGGUUUUGUAAGACAGUCGUGAAAUCCCCGGGCUCAACCUGGGAAUUGCGAUUGUGACUGCAAAGCUGGAGUGCGGCAGAGGGGGAUGGAAUUCCGCGUGUAGCAGUGAAAUGCGUAGAUAUGCGGAGGAACACCGAUGGCGAAGGCAAUCCCCUGGGCCUGCACUGACGCUCAUGCACGAAAGCGUGGGGAGCAAACAGGAUUAGAUACCCUGGUAGUCCACGCCCUAAACGAUGUCAACUGGUUGUUGGGUCUCUUCUGACUCAGUAACGAAGCUAACGCGUGAAGUUGACCGCCUGGGGAGUACGGCCGCAAGGUUGAAACUCAAAUGAAUUGACGG